rnacentral:rRNA from 1 species
UACGUAGGGUGCGAGCGUUAAUCGGAAUUACUGGGCGUAAAGCGUGACGCAGGCGGUUCGUUAUGUCUGAUGUGAAGACCCCGGGCUCAACCUGGGAAUGGCAUUGGAAACUGGCGAGCUUGAGUGUGGCAGAGGGGGGUGGAAUUCCGCGUGUAGCAGUGAAAUGCGUAGAUAUCGGGAGGAACACCAGUGGCGAAGGCGGCUGCCUGGACCUUUGCUGACGCUGAGGCGCGAAAGCGUGGGGAGCGAUCCGG